AGCCCGGGCCAGGGUGUGAGUGACUGCCUGGGUGGGCGGGUCCAUCUCGCUGUAGGAUCUGCAGAGCUUCAGCCACACAGCCUUUCCACCUGUGGCAGCUGCAGCCAAGACCCACUGAUUGAGCCCAACGAAAGAAGACCACUCUUCUGUGACCUCGGGGCUCCUUCAGGGGAAGGUCCUCCUCCACAGAACCCUCUCAUUCCAGAGCUUCCUGGAGCCAAGGAACAGAAUCCCACGGAGGGAAGCAAAGGCGUGGAUCGUUUAUCCUGGCCCCUGCCUUUGAACUCUACAAAGGCAGACCUCUGGAGCCCACCUGCCACGUGGGAGCAAGGACUAUGUAGCAGCGAAGACUAAACAAAUGAGUGAGGCAUGCCAGUCCAGAGCACAGGCCGGUCUCACGACCCCACCCAGCAUGGUGUCCCUGCAAGCUACCUCUUGGGUCCUCUCUGGGAGUCAGCUCACAUGCCUGGCAUGCCAGCCUCACUGUAUGUCUGUCCCAGUGAACAUGAUCACAUCUCUCCCAGAGUUCCAGUGUCUCCCU